GCGGCUUUGGUUAAGUGGUAUAAUGAGUCCUUGCCAAGGAUUAGUCGGGAGUUCGAUUCUCCCAAGCCGCA
rnacentral:tRNA from 1 species